GGGGUAUUCGUCAUUACAAAACCUGACCCUAGGACAAGCAAAAUUUGCUUACAUAAAAGACUAAGGAAUGAAGUCUGGCGCCUGUUGAUGGUGCAACAGAUAUUAACCCCCACGUGACAGGGAAAAACCAGUCAUCAGGACUGGAGAGAGUGGA